rnacentral:rRNA from 1 species
GGUAUCGCCGUUAGUCAUGUGCAAAUAUGGAUAGCUGUUUUAGCCGUCUUUAUUGACUGGUUUAUAAGAGUUAUCAGAUAUCACUUUGAUUAAAUUAGAGUGCUUAAAGCAAGUGUGUUACUUGGAUAUAAAUGCAUGGAAUGAUGGAAUAUGUUGUUAUUCUAUUUGUUGGUUUUUGAAUGAUAAAAUGAUUGAAAGGAACUGUUAGGGGCAUUCGUAUUGUUGUGAGAGAGGUGAAAUUCUUAGACCACAGCAAGACGAACUACUGCGAAAGCAUUUGCCAAGAAUGUUUUCAUUGAUCAAGAACGAAAGUUAGAGGUUCGAAGGCGAUCAGAUACCGCCCUAGUUCUAACCAUAAACUAUGCCAACUAGCAAUUUGCUUUGUAUUUUUUAUGACUAAGUGAGAGGCCACGGGAAACCUAAGUAGGGUUAUGGGGGAAGUAUGGUUGCAAAGCUGAAACUUAAAGGAAUUGACGGAAGGGCACCACCAGGAGUGGAGCCUGCGGCUUAAUUUGACUCAACACGGGAAAACUUACCUGGUCCUGACACUAGAAGGAUUGACAGAUUGAUAGCCCUUUCUUGAUUUGGUGGAUGGUGGUGCAUGGCCGUUCUUAGUUGGUGGAGUGAUUUGUCUGGUUAAUUCCGAUAACGAACGAGACUCUAGCCUAUUAAAUAAUACACGGAAUUUUAUCUUCCGCGGUAUUUCUUAGUGGGAUCAAGCG